GGGAAUAUAGCUCAAUUGGUAGAGCGCUUGCUUAUCAUGCAUGAAGUCCUAGGUUCUUAUCUCCA
rnacentral:tRNA from 1 species